UCCAGCUUGCACCAACCUCAUCAACUUUCCUGAACACUCCUCGACCACUGGAUCCUCAACUCUGUCUCCUCGCCUAGCAUUAGCCUUAUUCACAAUCUCAAUCAAUCAUCUCAUCUUUAAGCCUUUCUGAAAUGGUUAGAAAGGAAUAGCAAGGGUGAGCAACAAUGCUCAGCAAGUAAUAAUAAACAAUGAUAGUUCUGAAAUGAUAUAACAGAAGUUCACGAGUUCAAGAUAUAAGAGGAUUCAACCUGAGUUCAUGAGUUCAUGGUAUUGUAUAGAAUGAUUUACAAUACCUUGCAGCAUUUAAACUGAGAAAUUCAAUCUUUCCAAAGAAUUAUUGAAUUGGACUAUCACAUUUUAAUUAAAACCAAGGUUAGGCAGCUGAUCAGUUCCGCACUAACCCCGAGCAGGCCCCGCCAUGCUCUAUCACUGGAUCCAAGGCACUCAUUGGCCUAACAUGACCACGAAUCUGGUCCACAGGUUUAUAUAAAAACAAUAAUCCAAUUCUCUAAUUCAAUUCAAGAAGCCAAUGUAAAUUAACAGAACAUCAUCAUAAAUAUCAUCAACAACAGAAUAAUUCCAAUUCAAACUUUGAUAAUAAUCUAUUCAUAAAUCAUGAUCCAUCAUUUCAUAAAUCACAGUUCAGGAAAUCCUCAACUAUUCAGUAUCCUCCAUUAUCGGCUAAGCAACUGAAUUUAGCCUGCUAAACCAGCAUGACAAUGGUGGGUUGAAUAAUCAAGAAGAUCCCAAUUCAUUCAAAGCUCUAACUAUCACUGAGCAACACAUGCUUCAAUGACAAUCUGAACUUCGAAUUAAUUUGUAAAACGGAAAUUCUUUAGAAACUUGAAGAUUAGAAAGAAUGGGUCAGAAUACUCGCACUUUCGAACAUUGAAAAGAAAGGUAUGAAUACUUGAAACAUAUACCAAAGGAAUGGAUCAGAAUAUUUGCAAUAUAUCCAAAAGAAGGGUUUAGGAUACUUGCCUUAAAUCUGACUCCCGUCUCACAGCUCAUUCUCAUCUUUCCACUUUCACAAUCUAUGCAUCUCAUAAUCUCUAGACCAUCUCUAGCUAUACUCUAUUCGCCACAUCGCUUCGCUUACUCGAUUCAUCCCUUAUUCGCUUUGCAAUACCAUUCUGACUUUCUGACGUCUUCGAACGUACACGUCUCCUCCAAAUCCUUUACGAAAAUAAGAUCAUACUAUAGUCACUAAACAAUAU
rnacentral:lncRNA from 1 species